UACGUAGGGGGCGAGCGUUGUCCGGAAUUACUGGGCGUAAAGGGUGCGUAGGCGGCUGUGUAAGUCGGAUGUGAAAUACUCUUGCUUAACGAGAGGGGUGCAUACGAAACUGCAUGGCUUGAGUGUAGGAGAGGGAAGCGGAAUUCCUAGUGUAGCGGUGAAAUGCAUAGAUAUUAGGAGGAACACCAGUGGCGAAGGCGGCUUUCUGGACUACAACUGACGCUGAGGCACGAAAGCGUGGGGAGCAAACAGGAUUAGAUACCCUGGUAGUCCACGCUGUAAACGAUGGAUACUAGGUGUAGGUGGUAUAGAACCCAUCUGUGCCGGAGCAAACGCAAUAAGUAUCCCGCCUGGGGAGUACGGCCGCAAGGUUGAA
rnacentral:rRNA from 1 species